UUAUUUCCAAUUUGCCUGCUGAAUCAUGUAGACCCCUCAUGUUGGCCCAAAGGUAAAACCCUAACCUUCUAAUUCUUCAAAUCUCCAAUUCUCAAUGUUCAUUAUCUGGUUUUCAACUAUUCAUAAGCGAAUGUUCUUUUGCCCGAUGAAUCGUAAGUAUCAAAAUGGUCAAAGGUUGAACCGAGCUACGGAAAAAAGGUUACUGAAAGCAACAGGCAGAGAUAAGAACAUUAAUUUUAUAAAGGGAGUAAAGACUGGCAUGAAAAAGACUCUGAUUUUCCACAUUGGUCCUUGCUACAAAUAAGUCACCGGAUGGCACUCAUCGUGGUCAGAUCUCAAGUUGAAAACUAACUAGAUACAUAGUGGAAGAAGUUCUAGAGGAAGCUGAGAGACUACAAUCGUUGAAGUAACUGUUGAAUAGAAUCAAGUGUGUCUAUACAUACUCACUACUGGGCACUAUGUCUACUUUGAGGAGUUGUGACAAUGUUGUGUUUCAAAAGAGAAGCUUCUGAUAAAUAUUGGCAAUGCGUCAUCCCAGGAGACUCAUGUUUUCAGGUUGCAUUGAGGCUUUAAUAAUCAUGACUAUCUUAUCUGCUCUUGUUGGCUGGCAGCUCCAAAUCUGGUAAGAGUGAUUUACAAGUUUGUAUUUUCCUAGGGACUUGAUGCUGUAAAGAUAUUAGAUACAUUUGCUCACUUUAGUACAGAUGUCAUACGACCUGAUAUUUGACAAACUUUAACUGUUUAAAUAUUUUUUUCAUGUAAGGUGCUAUAAUAGUGCUCUUGAUAAUAGUGUUAAAAAGGAUUUCCCUAUGUCUCCUCUUUUGUCACUUUAAGCCAUGUAUUUGCUUUUCAGCUGCCUACUGAAUCCAUUUAUUAAAUUGUUAAUUUUUGUUUUUCCAAUUCGUCCUAUGCUUCCAUUACGUCAGUAGUUCUCAAGUCAUUAUACAUGCUGGUGCUAUUUGAAAGUUUAGCCAAGCUUUUUUGUACUGCGCACAUUGUCAAAUGUGGUUGCUUUUUAGGCUUGGACAAAGAACAACUAGAUAGUAGGCAAAAUAUUUAUUUAUAUCUAUAUUUCUUUAGGGCACAAAAUCUUUAUUCUUCUUUGAAUGAUAGCUAUUGUCAGUUGUCAUAUUUUUAUGAUUUGCUCACUGGUGCACUGCAAUUAUAAAUUAUGUAGUCCUGUAAGUGGACUCAUCUUGAUACUCCUCAAAUAUCUGUUCUUUUUUAAAUGUAUUCUUGAUGGAGAGAACUAAUGCAAGGAAGAAGAAGCCUCUUAUAAAUUUGGAGACUCGGAUGCAAAUCACUCUGGGUUCUGCAAA